GAUCAUGAGGGUUCUUGUGGACUGCUGUUUACAAGAGAAAGUGUUUAAUAAGUACUACGCUGUUCUAGCUUCCAAAUUGUGUGAGCAUGAAAAAAACCACAAGUUUACAUUACAAUAUUGCCUGUGGGAUCAAUUCAAAGAACUGGAUACGAUGCAGCUUAUCAGGUCGAUGAAUCUUGCCAAGUUCGUUGCUGAGAUGAUCGCCUCUUUUACUCUCUCACUUGCAGUUUUGAAAUCUGUAGAUUUGAGUGAUGUCAGGCUGCUUACUCCAAAGAGGAUCAUGCAUUUCCGUAUGUUGUUCGAUGCGAUUUUUGAACGUCCCGACAAGUUGAUAUGGAAUGUGUUCACUCGAGUUGCUGUUAACCCUGAGCUCGAAC
rnacentral:misc_RNA from 1 species